GGGAGCGGCGGACGGGUGAGUAACGCGUGGGUAACCUGCCCUGUACACACGGAUAACAUACCGAAAGGUAUGCUAAUACGGGAUAACAUAAGAAAGUCGCAUGGAUUUCUUAUCAAAGCUUUUGCGGUACAGGAUGGACCCGCGUCUGAUUAGCUAGUUGGUAAGGUAACGGCUUACCAAGGCGACGAUCAGUAGCCGACCUGAGAGGGUGAUCGGCCACAUUGGAACUGAGACACGGUCCAAACUCCUACGGGAGGCAGCAGUGGGGAAUAUUGCACAAUGGGCGAAAGCCUGAUGCAGCAACGCCGCGUGAGCGAUGAAGGCCUUCGGGUCGUAAAGCUCUGUCCUCAAGGAAGAUAAUGACGGUACUUGAGGAGGAAGCCCCGGCUAACUACGUGCCAGCAGCCGCGGUAAUACGCAGGGGGCUAGCGUUAUCCGGAAUUACUGGGCGUAAAGGGUGCGUAGGCGGUCUUUCAAGUCAGAAGUGAAAGGCUACGGCUCAACCGUAGUAAGCUUUUGAAACUGUAAGACUUGAGUGCAGGAGAGGAGAGUGGAAUUCCUAGUGUAGCGGUGAAAUGCGUAGAUAUUAGGAGGAACACCAGUUGCGAAGGCGGCUCUCUGGACUGUAACUGACGCUGAGGCACGAAAGCGUGGGGAGCAAACAGG
rnacentral:rRNA from 1 species